rnacentral:rRNA from 1 species
AGGAAUAUUGGUCAAUGGGCGAGAGCCUGAACCAGCCAAGUAGCGUGAAGGAUGACUGCCCUAUGGGUUGUAAACUUCUUUUAUAAAGGAAUAAAGUCGGGUAUGCAUACCCGUUUGCAUGUACUUUAUGAAUAAGGAUCGGCUAACUCCGUGCCAGCAGCCGCGGUAAUACGGAGGAUCCGAGCGUUAUCCGGAUUUAUUGGGUUUAAAGGGAGCGUAGAUGGAUGUUUAAGUCAGUUGUGAAAGUUUGCGGCUCAACCGUAAAAUUGCAGUUGAUACUGGAUAUCUUGAGUGCAGUUGAGGCAGGCGGAAUUCGUGGUGUAGCGGUGAAAUGCUUAGAUAUCACGAAGAACUCCGAUUGCGAAGGCAGCCUGCUAAGCUGCAACUGACAUUGAGGCUCGAAAGUGUGGGUAUCAAACAGGAUUAGAUACCCUGGUAGUCCACACGGUAAACGAUGAAUACUCGCUGUUUGCGAUAUACAGUAAGCGGCCAAGCGAAAGCGUUAAGUAUUCCACCUGGGGAGUACGCCGGCAACGGUGAAACUCAAAGGAAUUGACGGGGGCCCGCACAAGCGGAGGAACAUGUGGUUUAAUUCGAUGAUACGCGAGGAACCUUACCCGGGCUUGAAUUGCAACUGAAUGAUGUGGAGACAUGUCAGCCGCAAGGCAGUUGUGAAGGUGCUGCAUGGUUGUCGUCAGCUCGUGCCGUGAGGUGUCGGCUUAAGUGCCAUAACGAGCGCAACCCUUAUCGAUAGUUACCAUCAGGUUAUGCUGGGGACUCUGUCGAGACUGCCGUCGUAAGAUGUGAGGAAGGUGGGGAUGACGUCAAAUCAGCACGGCCCUUACGUCCGGGGCUACACACGUGUUACAAUGGGGGGUACAGAAGGCAGCUACACGGCGACGUGAUGCUAAUCCCUAAAGCCUCUCUCAGUUCGGAUUGGAGUCUGCAACCCGACUCCAUGAAGCUGGAUUCGCUAGUAAUCGCGCAUCAGCCACGGCGCGGUGAAUACGUUCCCG